rnacentral:rRNA from 1 species
UACGGGGGGGGCAAGCGUUGUUCGGAAUUACUGGGCGUAAAGGGCUCGUAGGUGGCCAACUAAGUCAGACGUGAAAUCCCUCGGCUUAACCGGGGAACUGCGUCUGAUACUGGAUGGCUUGAGUUCGGGAGAGGGAUGCGGAAUUCCAGAUGUAGCGGUGAAAUGCGUAGAUAUCUGGAGGAACACCGGUGGCGAAGGCGGCAUCCUGGACCGACACUGACGCUGAGGAGCGAAAGCCAGGGGAGCAAACGGG